AUUGAACGCUGGCGGCAGGCCUAACACAUGCAAGUCGAACGGUAACAGGAAGCAGCUUGCUGCUUUGCUGACGAGUGGCGGACGGGUGAGUAAUGUCUGGGAAACUGCCCGAUGGAGGGGGAUAACUACUGGAAACGGUAGCUAAUACCGCAUAACGUCGCAAGACCAAAGAGGGGGACCUUAGGGCCUCUUGCCAUCGGAUGUGCCCAGAUGGGAUUAGCUAGUAGGUGGGGUAACGGCUCACCUAGGCGACGAUCCCUAGCUGGUCUGAGAGGAUGACCAGCCACACUGGAACUGGGACACGGUCCAGACUCCUACGGGAGGCAGCAGGGGGGAAUAUUGCACAAUGGGCGCAAGCCUGAUGCAGCCAUGCCGCGUGUAUGAAGAAGGCCUUCGGGUUGUAAAGUACUUUCAGCGGGGAGGAAGGGAGUAAAGUUAAUACCUUUGCUAAUUGACGUUACCCGCAGAAGAAGCACCGGCUAACUCCGUG
rnacentral:rRNA from 1 species